rnacentral:rRNA from 1 species
UACGUAGGGUGCAAGCGUUAAUCGGAAUUACUGGGCGUAAAGCGUGCGCAGGCGGCUUUGCAAGACAGAUGUGAAAUCCCCGGGCUCCAACCUGGGAACUGCCUUUGUGGCUGCAAGGCUUGGAGUGCGGCAGAGGGGGAUGGAAUUCCGCGUGUAGCAGUGAAAUGCGUAGAUAUGCGGAGGAACACCGAUGGCGAAGGCAAUCCCCUGGGCCUGCACUGACGCUCAUGCACGAAGCGUGGGAGCAAACAGGAUAG